AACGAACGCUGGCGGCAUGCCUAACACAUGCAGGUCGAACGAGACCUUCGGGUCUAGUGGCGCACGGGUGCGUAACGCGUGGGAACCUGCCCUUAGGUUCGGAAUAACUCCCCGAAAGGGGUGCUAAUACCGGAUAAUGUCUUCGGACCAAAGAUUUAUCGCCUUUGGAUGGGCCCGCGUUGGAUUAGCUAGUUGGUAGGGUAAAAGCCUACCAAGGCGACGAUCCAUAGCUGGUCUGAGAAGAUGAUCAGCCACACUGGGACUGAGACACGGCCCAGACUCCUACGGGAAGCAGCAGUGGGGAAUAUUGGACAAUGGGCGAAAGCCUGAUCCAGCAAUGCCGCGUGAGUGAUGAAGGCCUUAGGGUUGUAAAGCUCUUUUACCCGGGAAGAUAAUGACAGUACCGGGAGAAUAAGCUCCGGCUAACUCCGUG
rnacentral:rRNA from 1 species